UACGGGGGGGGCUAGCGUUGUUCGGAAUUACUGGGCGUAAAGGGCGCGUAGGCGGCCUACUAAGUCGGACGUGAAAUCCCUCGGCUCAACCGGGGAACUGCGUCCGAUACUGGUGGGCUUGAAUCCGGGAGAGGGAUGUGGAAUUCCAGGUGUAGCGGUGAAAUGCGUAGAUAUCUGGAGGAACACCGGUGGCGAAGGCGGAUCUCUGGGCCGAUACUGACGCUGAGGAGCGAAAGCGUGGGGAGCGAACAGG
rnacentral:rRNA from 1 species